ACUAAAGAGCUGAAUGUACAAAGGGAAAAAGAGAUGUCAAUCCAGGAAAAUGAUCGUCUUAAAUGUCGCUUGAAAUCCUUAAUAAGAGAAAAGGAGAUGUCUUCUCAAGAGAUUAAUCAUCUUACAAUACAGCUUAAAUUACUCAAGUCAAAGGAGA